rnacentral:rRNA from 1 species
CUCGUAGGCGGUUCGUCGCGUCCGGUGUGAAAGUCCAUCGCUUAACGGUGGAUCUGCGCCGGGUACGGGCGGGCUGGAGUGCGGUAGGGGAGACUGGAAUUCCCGGUGUAACGGUGGAAUGUGUAGAUAUCGGGAAGAACACCAAUGCCGAAGGCAGGUCUCUGGGCCGUUACUAACGCUGAGGAGCGAAAGCGUGGGGAGCGAACA